CGGCUGCGUGGACCAUACGCUCAACAUCAGAUUUUUUGCAUCACGCGGGGUGCACACGGGAUUUCUCUGGAUUUCAACCAUGAUGAAAUCCCAUUCUAUUAUCUAUGGUACAUGUGCUCCAAGAUCUGGAUGGUUCGUCUGGUCCAUCUAAUUAUUUUUCCCGAGGCUGGGCCUGCACCUCCGUGCGCUUAGAGAGAAAUUAUUGCAUGCACCAAGUCCAAGUGAACCAGGACAAAUGCCGAAAACAUUCGCACAGUGGAUUGGGCGUAACGAGGAAUUGGUGAAAUAAAAGGAGUACUGUACCAUUACGAUGGUAGCCCGUGCGAAAUGAGUCUUGGCAUCUGCUCCACGCAUCACAGAUUCAAGGUCA
rnacentral:lncRNA from 1 species